UACGGAGGGUGCAAGCAUUGAUCGGAAUUACUGGGCGUAAAGGGCGCGUAGGCGGUUUAAUAAGUCGGAUGUGAAAUUCCGGGGCUCAACCCCGGAGCGGCAUUUGAAACUAUUAGACUAGAGUUCAGUUAGGGUAAACGGAAUUCCACGUGUAGCGGUGAAAUGCGUAGAUAUGUGGAAGAACACCGGUGGUGAAGACGGUUUACUGGGCUGAUACUGACGCUGAGGCGCGAAAGCAUGGGGAGCAAACAGG
rnacentral:rRNA from 1 species